CUCCACAGGGGAUUCCAACCAGGAUUCCUGAGGAUUCCAGGGAGGAUUUUCAAGGAUCCAGUGAGGGAUUCCAGCUGGGAUUCUGAGGGAUUCCAAGGAAGGAUUCCUGAGAAUUCCAGAGGGUUUCAGGAGGGAUUCCCAAGGAUCCUGGGUGGGAAUUCCAGCUGGGAUUCCGAUGACUCCAGGAAAGAGAUUCCAAAGGAUCCGAGGAAGGAUUAAA
rnacentral:lncRNA from 1 species